UCAUUUCCAGGUGAUCGUGGCCCGGGUAUAAGCAAAGAAAGCAUACAAUAAUCUGCCUUCAUGCACAUCCAAGGAGGCAAAUUAUACACCAUUAAAAUAACUGGCCAUAUGCUAUGAGAUAUGUAGUGAAGCAGGACACUGCAGGUUUCAACUGGACAAAUGCAACGAGCUUAGAAACUGUUACAUAUUUAUUCUAUACGACAACGCAUUUGUCAACGACGAUCAGCAGUGCUGUCUACAUUUGAGUUCUUUGACAAAUGAGCAGCAUGUACAAAUCUUAAGGGAGGAGUACAUGGUGCUAUAUGUUUUCUCUAACAUGUGCUCCUUUUUUGCAGGACAAGAUCUAGCAUAUAUAUAUUGCCUUCUGGUGGAGUCUCAAAUGGUGGUAUUAGUGCUAUGCACUCAACCCAUUGAAAGGAAGUCAAGGGCAGGCAUGUAUGCAACUACAAGGCAGGGUACUAACUUGUACAAAGGCAGCAGAUGCAGAGUUCACUGGCAAAUUGCAGUCCAAACAACUAAUCCCAGAUCGAACUGGACAAUAUGGAUUAGAGGACAAAGUUGGAGGCAAUGGGAGUAUAUUGGAUAUAGGGAUUCAAGCAGAAGUGCAUUCCUAGCAAAUAUGGGACAACUCAAGGAGCAGUAUGGGGCAAGAAGUACGGGCAAUGUCACAAAUAAGCAUCCCAGGAAAAUCUGCAUUUGGACCACUAAAUGACUAUUCCUUUUUUAUAUACAAUACAAUGGUUUCAAUGCAACUUUCGAUGUGAGGGACUUAACUAUUGGUCAACAAAGCAGAAAAUACAAUAAAUUACCAGCAAUUGGACCAAUAAUUGCUCAGGCGUGGGUGCAAAUGCAUAGAAGGCUAGUCCAAAGUCAGGAGUUCCCAAGAUGCCCAGGUCUGAAUGAGGAAGUGUUUUUGUGGCAUCAAGGUAGUUUAACUGGACAUACAACAAUUUGGAACAAAAGCAAAAUGCAUUACCUGAAAAGUGUUGAGCAAAGGAGUCAAUUGGCAAAUGCUUUACCUGAAAACCUGCAGGUCCAACGCAGCUUUUUACACACUUUGGUAAAUGAAAGCAGGCUGCUAUCUAUUUGGUUAGUGUGCUGUGUUAACUUGAGGACUAGAGAGAGAAGCCAUACAAUUUGCGCAAUGCAAAUGUUGCUCGCGAUGAGGCAGGGGAUUUCAAUGAACCAAACGAAUAUUUUGACAAGUAGGAAUGGAGCUAGGACAUCAUUUGUAGCAAGAAGGAUAUACAAAGAAGAGGAAUGGGUACGACAACACCAGCUUAAUGCUUGGAACACGCCAGAGAUUACAGUGCAAAAACACAGGAACACAGAAAUGCAAAAUUGCUGGACAGGACUGGAAUGCAACAGCAAUAUGCAAUGUGUUUGGAUCAGAUCGAUUAGAAAGAGCUACAGCUACAAUAAGAUGCAGGAACACCAAAAUGCAAAAUUGCUGGACAGAACUGGAAUGAAAUAGCAGUAUGCAAUGUGUUUGGAUCAGAUCGAUUAGAAAAAGCUAUAGCUACAAUAUGAGAAUCCACACACGAACUUUGAAGUAUCACUGAAACAAUAGGGGAGAAGCCAAUGUCUCUCAAAUGGAAAGUUCACUGGAUAGCACAGAUUCCAUACAAGGGAACACAAACAACAGGAAAAGGACCACUUUCUCAAAAAUGCAAAAUUCUCUGGAAUGUGCAGAAUUUCAUAGCAAGAUAGCAAGAUGGAUGAUCAUCAACAUGUUACAAGUUUUAUUUUUUUCACCUUUUAAGACCUCCUGAAUAUUGUUUCUUUGUAUUUUUUUAUUUUUGAUUAUAUAAAAUAUAGCCCUAGGCAUUUGCCUAGUGGAUUAUUUAAAAAAAUGUAGUAAACUAUUCUGCACAUUUAAGUUAAUAGACCAGUUUUAUUAAACAUGGAAAACGAAGAGCAAAUGAAGGAAAUCAACACCUACAGCUAAAAGAAUACAGAAGACAAUCAAGGGGAGAAGAAGAUCACAUGCACAUGACAGAAACACAGCUACAACAAUCUUAUCAAUUGUGUCACUAAUUUCCAAAUUUUGAAAUAAAUUGUGUCACUAAUUUAUAGUUCAUUCUUUUCUCGAAUAAGUAUCAAAUUAGAUAUGAAACUACAGCAAUCAGUAACCAUAAGAUGGUAAAAUAUUGAAAUAGAACAGCACCAACCUGAGAUUGGAAAAAUUCCCGUUUCUCUAACUUUAUAAAUUUCUUCAAUCCGCAACGAGGAGGGCGAGAAGGUGCAAAACAAUACCUGAGAAAAGGGAAACGGAUUUGAAAACAAAAAAUAAGUAAAACGAGAAACAGAAUUCAUCGAUACUUUGAAAACAAAGAUUAAGUGAAAGGGGAAACAGAGUUCGUCGUUUGAGACGAUAUUGGGAAAACAAAAAUUAAGAGAAAGGAAUGGAAGAAGGUGCAGAAAUUAAGAGUAGCGGUGCAGAAAUUAAUACGGAAUCAGUAUCCACGAUUGAAGCCAAAACCCUAACUAAUGUAUCCACAGAGCUGUUAGCGAUGAAGAGAGAUCUUUUUGUCCUUUUGAAAUUGAAAAAAUAAUGUUUUACCUAGACUAUAUAGGAGGGCACA
rnacentral:lncRNA from 1 species